CGUCUAUAUACGUAUAGCAUAUCAAUAAGCGGAGGAAAAGAAACUAACAAGGAUUCCCCUAGUAACGGCGAGUGAAGCGGGAAGAGCUCAAAUUUGAAAUCUUUAAAGGGUUUCCCUUUACGAAUUGUAGUUUAAAGAAGUGUUUUCUGUUAGAUGAGUAGCAAAAGUUCCUUGGAAUAGGGACAUCAUAGAGGGUGAGAAUCCCGUAUUUGGUCAUUCCUUCUAGCUUUGUGAUACACUUUCAAAGAGUCGGAUUGUUUGGGAAUGCAGUCCAAAAUGGGUGGUAAAUUUCAUCUAAAGCUAAAUAUUGGCGAGAGACCGAUAGCGAACAAGUACCGUGAGGGAAAGAUGAAAAGAACUUUGAAAAGAGAGUUAAACAGUACGUGAAAUUGUCAAAAGGGAAGCGUUUGACACCAGUGUUGUUUUCUCGAAAAUCAAUUAAAAAAGACUGGAUUUUGUGUUGUAUUGACUUUAUCAGCUUUCUGCACUUUUUUCUUGUCUUUUUUAAUGCACUUUUCGUUUAACAAGUCAACAUCAAUUUCUUUUGUUGUAAAAGGGUAUGAGGAAGGUGGCUUUCUUUUCGGAGAAAGUGUUUAUAGCCUUGUGCCUCUGCAAUCGGAGAGAUUGAGGUCUGCAGCGUAGAUCCUUCGGGGUUAGAUACAUUUGUGCUAAGUUAUAGCUUUUCAUAGACAACUUGUUGACUAUGUUUAGUCUUGUAGCUUACUCGCUUAUGCUAUUUUACCUACGCUUAGGAUGUUGACUGAUAUGUAGUCGUA
rnacentral:rRNA from 1 species